rnacentral:rRNA from 1 species
CUCCAAGGCUAAAUACUCCUGACUGACCGAUAGUGAACCAGUACCGUGAGGGAAAGGCGAAAAGAACCCCGGCGAGGGGAGUGAAAAAGAACCUGAAACCGUGUACGUACAAGCAGUGGGAGCACGCUUAGGCGUGUGACUGCGUACCUUUUGUAUAAUGGGUCAGCGACUUAUAUUCUGUAGCAAGGUUAACCGAAUAGGGGAGCCGAAGGGAAACCGAGUCUUAACUGGGCGUUAAGUUGCAGGGUAUAGACCCGAAACCCGGUGAUCUAGCCAUGGGCAGGUUGAAGGUUGGGUAACACUAACUGGAGGACCGAACCGACUAAUGUUGAAAAAUUAGCGGAUGACUUGUGGCUGGGGGUGAAAGGCCAAUCAAACCGGGAGAUAGCUGGUUCUCCCCGAAAGCUAUUUAGGUAGCGCCUCGUGAAUUCAUCUCCGGGGGUAGAGCACUGUUUCGGCA